CGGGGGCGGUGCUCGGAGGCGGUGCCGCGCAGCGUUUCCUUUGCAGUGGUGAGACGCGCGCCGCCGCCAUCAUGCGUUUCCGGGCCAAGAUCGUGGAUCUCGCCUGUCUCAACCACUUCAGCCGUGAGCCAGCCGGGUGGCUCGGCGCCGGCCCGGCCGUGCCGGGGCGCCGCCGGGCUCGGGGCGCCUUGCCGGGGCAGUGGCUGUCGGGGGAGGGGGCGGUGGUGCGGGGCCGCGGCAGGGCCAGGACGUGGCGGCAGCUGCGGGGGGAUCGCGGGAGACCGUCUCCCCGCCUGUUGUUUGUCUGUGUGUCUGUGCUCCGGAUCGCGUUGCGUGCGGCCUGCCGAGGCCGGGGCGCGGCGCGGGCUCUUAAGAAGUUCCUGCUACGCCGUUUUGCCCCUCCAGGAGUAGUGAACACGGUGGCCCGGCUGGCCAAGACCUGCACCCUGCGCCUCACGGCCGACAAGCUGUAUUUCAUCCUCUCGGAUAAAGUGGCAAACGGAGGCGUCAGCGUGUGGUGUGAGCUGUGCCAGGGGAAUUUCUUUGAUGAGUUCCAGAUGGAAGGAGUAGCUGCAGAGCACAAUGAAAUCUAUUUGGAGCUGGUGCCUGAGAACCUGUCGAGAGCAUUAAAAACAGCCCAGAAUGCAAAGACAGUGAAAAUCAAGCUGACCAACAAACACUGUCCGUGUCUCACAGUAGCUGUGGAGCUACCAUCCUUGUCAAGCAGCAGUCGAAUUGUGACACAUGACAUUCCAGUGGGGGUUAUUCCCAGAAGAUUAUGGAAUGACUUCAGAGAGCCCAGCGUGCCAGACUUUGAUGUCAGUAUUUACCUACCAGUGUUAAAAACAAUGAAAAGUGUGGUGGAGAGAAUGAAGAACCUCAGCAAUUACAUUGUGAUUGAAGCAAACUUGUGUGGAGAAAUGAACUUGAAAAUAGAAACUGAUUUAGUGUCUGUAACAACACAUUUUAGAGACUUAGGAAAUCCUCCUUGGGCGUCAGACAAUGAAUGUCAAAGCUCUGCUCGAGGUAGAGAUCUGGAAAGCAUGGCUGAGGCACGGAUAGACAUCAAGAAGCUACUGCAGCUGCUUGCAGGACAGCAAGUCAAUCCCACAAAAGCUUUGUGCAACAGUUGGACUGCUCAGCUCUGCUAUAUGAAUGGGAAGUGCUUUGCUGUACAGACACUAAUGCAAGUGGCAUUUUGGAUACGACUGCCCUAGCUUGGACAUCACAAGUGAAGAAAGUGAGGGGAAUGGUCACAUCCUGACAUGUAGUUGCUCCUGCCUGUGACAUUUGAGCAUGACGUCACUGUUCACUGAAGAAAUGUCAACUGCUCCAGAUAUGUCUGUGGCAGUUCGAGCUGUUAAAUACAGAACAAUAUUGAGAUAUCUAGUUGGCUCACAGCUAACAUCAGAAAGAUUAUCCAGUACUGUACUUGCUUCAGUGUCCUGCAUAGCUUAAUUAUAUUACUCAUCAGCUCUACCAUCGGGAGAAGAUCUCUCAAGGCUGCAUUGGAGAUGGUGUGUAAGCACAACUUGUGCUAGUGAAAUCAGCAGGACGUGGCAUUGAUUCUGUAUGCAUUGCAAUCUGGGCUCAGUUUUAAGCCUUGCAUAAUAUUUAUGUGUCAGAAGUGUUUAAAAGAAUAUUUUAGGGAUUCCAUAGAAGCGUAGUUGAGUUUUCCCGAGUAGUAUUUCAUACAGCCUUCCCACAGUUUUAAGUGACUAAGGGAAUGGAGUUUCAAAUUAAAACAGGAGAAAACCUUUCAGAUGGAAACUCAAAAACACUUUAACCUGUAAGAUGUUUGUGCCCUCAUAAGUCAUCACUGGUUCAAAUUUGUAUAUUUCAGCAGACACAAGAAAAUUCAUACAGCAAAUGGCAUAUACAAUAUACAUAAUAAUUUACUUAAUUUGGGAUGAACCACUCCCCAUUGAAAUCAAUGGAAGAAUGUGCAUCUAUCUAAAAGCGACUUAACCUUUACCUUACUACAUUUUCAAAUGACUUCAAAAUUAUAUGUAAACAAGAUAAACCGUUUUACAAAAUCUUGACUUCAGCUAGAGUAACACUUAACAUCUCCAAGCGCAUGCUUGCAAGGACUCAUAAAUGAAAGAUUUUAGAAGCAUAGUUUGGAAAAUGUGAUUCUGCAAGGCCUGUUUAUUAAGGAAAAUCUGGAACAGCAACAAGUUUGACUUCAAAGCAUGAGUCACUCACAAAAUUCAGUACACAUUUGCAGGUGUAGCAACCUUCUGUGUUGCAGUGCUUGAAAUAUUUCAGGUGACAUACAACAUCUUUGAAUAGGGAUCCACAGUAGAAAAAACUUAACCUACUUCAGAGUCCUAUGCUUCAGGACAUAAACUGAUAAACAGCCUGGGUCCUAUGCAGGUCUCCUUUCAUCCUAGCUUAUCAUGCAGGUAAAUUAGGUCAUGGAGUUUACGCAUCUGAUAUGGAAGGCCAGUAUAAGACACAGGUAUUACUCCAAGUGUACUUGGACUAAAGAGUCUUUUGAAUUUUGCAGCUCUUAUUAGCACUUAAAAUUACUAACAGUUUUUACUAGUUUCCUUAGUACUUAAUAAGACACUUACUCCUCUGUGAAGCCAUUUAAAUAGACCAGCUAUAGGCCCCUGAGGUUAAAAAGUGCUUCCUUUUUGUGUGUGAGGUGGAGUUUUGUGGGAUGGGGGUUGCACUGUUCCUUUUAGAUGGGCUAAGAGCCUGUGUUACCCAUUAGAUAUUGAAUGUGUUGUGAGGUGUGCCCUUUCAAUUGCCACAAUAUCAGAUUGUGCUUGAAUGAAAAAGAAUGAGAAGUUCAGUGUGAAAAUGAAGUAGAAAGUCUUUCUUUUUAAGACAAAAUUCUUUGCCUACUCUUAUUAUUUUCUGGAUCAUGAAACUGAGUUGCCUGUGAAUUAGCUUAUUGAGUUCAGCUGUAUAGUCAGUGUCAUUGCUAAUAGCAGAGAGGCUCUUUGGGCAUUUCUACUCCAACGCAGCUCAAGGCAGAUCUUGUCUUGGACUCAAAACUUCCCAGCUUUGCCUUGGCUGCAGAAGUCACUCACUAGGAGCUCCCAUUGGUGUUUGCCUUCAGGCUGCUACAUGCCAGCCAGCUAGGAUCUUUGCGCAUCAGACCAUAACCGCAGAACAUCCCACUUUACCAGCACGGGAUUUCAAGUGACACUUUCUUCUGGAGCUGCUGAAGCAUAAAUGUGGCCUCUCUGCUGACUGCCAUCAGUAGGUCACAGCUCAGAGCUGGCAGGAAGGAGGAAACCUAGAUCCAAGUGACUGUCACCAGGAGACGCGGAGGGGUGCUUGCACUGCGUGGGAAGUAGUGUCUGGAGAAGCAACAUCUACAUUUGGCGUGGAUGAACAGUGCAAUAAACAACGAGCCCUCAAUGUAUAUCAUCACUAGGUCAUCAGCAAUGGCAGGCUGCUCAAACAGUCCCAGACUGCUGUCACUCAGCCUUCGGAGACCAGAAAUGCAGUACUGAAUAUCAGAGAUGACCUGGCUAACCAUGUGCUAGAAAGCUUGACAGCUGGCUAGUGACCAGCAGCUCAAAAGCAUAGUUCAAGUGUCAGGUUAUAGACUUCAGACACUGCCUGUGGAAAGCAAAGGGAAAGGAUGAAGGGGGCUUUGCGAGUGGUUGUGUAUGUUGGUAUAAGAACUGGAGUUUGAAGAUGGAGCCCUUGAAAGCUCUUCUGAAGGCGUUUUGCAGAACUCUUCACAGAACUGGAGAUGCUUGUGUGCCAGAUCAGCAGCGUUUCCUCUACACUUAUCGGCCCUGUGAAUCUACAUGAAAUGUAAACAGGAAGAAGACAAGAUCUCAUGAGAAAUCAGGAGCUGAAAAGGAGCUGCAAUUCAGAUGUGGAUAUUUUCAGCAACGGCAAGGUGAAAUGUUGUGGUCUGAGUAAUGCAGACAGCUGAACAGAGGUGAUCAGAGCUGCUUGAUCCCCUAUAGACCAGUUUUCUGUAACGUUCUGAGCUUAAAUUGGAGGGAAACUUAUAGGACUGGAUGGCCUUUCUGCAUCUGGUUUCUGUUACGGAGAAGCUGACAUACACCAUUUGCUCAGACCAUCUGCAGAGAAAAAAGAGUCUAUGGAACAUAACAAAGCAAAAUUUCUGGCUGGAGUUGUUACCAAUUCAUCAUGAGAAAGAAGAAAAGCUUUUUUACAGAUACAAGAGAAAGGCUUGGAGAAAUUAAUGCAAGUUCCAGGUAAGCCUUUUAUUUUGGGUGCCCAGUUCGGAACGCUGAGGGCCCGAUGUGUCGUCAGGAUGUUUUCGCAUAUUCAAAGUGCAUCUUCCAGAGAGUUUAGUAUUGGCUGAGAAUUUUACUGCAUCUAGAAUUCAGAAAUGUCUUCAGUUAGGUACUCAACAAAUAAGGAUCACAAUUAACUGGUGACCAUGUAAGAAAAGUUUGAUUUACAUGACUUUGGGUCCUACAGAUCUUUUGGCAGAGGCAGAGACAAAGUGUAGCUCUUUGAAGUAUUUGUAUAAUUAUACCAUAUAAUCUUUCCUCUUCAUGCGCUCCUCUACACCAUUGCUUUCCUACUUUCAAGGUUGCUACAGUCGGGGGGCACUGAAAACUCGACAGAAAAGGUACUCAUUAAUAGAGGCAAAAUGUGGGAGAAAUUCCCCCUCCCCCCAAUCUUGUUCUCCAAAAUGGCAGAAAUUUUUCAGAAAAGUUUAGCCUGAGCAGAUACCAAAUAUAUAUAAAAAAAACUCUCAGAAAGUUAAACCUUGGUAAAAUUUAAAGACAACUCAUAAAUUACAAUUUGAAGUAUCAGCAAUCUUGAUAUUUAAGUCAUGGUGUUAGACUAGGGCAACUAGGGCAAUGAAUGUAUUAUUUCGAAGGGAGAUAGUGACAGGUGUAUUCGGUAUAUUAUGGGAUGAAAGAGCUCUUAAUGUGAAGAGGUGAUUAUCUGACUGUAUUAACAAGUGCUUGUUUUGUUUUACAAAGGAAUUGAAACGUAUCCAGGAUUGACUGGAAAAGUCUGAGAAAUAGGCUUAACGAUUUUACAACAGAGAAAGGAGUUGAGAGAAGGUGACAAAGACUGAAAUGGAGAAUUAAGUUUCUGAACACAGAUAUCUUCCACUUGUGUCACCUGACUGACUGCUGUGUUUUCAUGGCUAUAACCCACAUGUUAAAAGCAAACACCCUCAUCUCCUGGUCUUGGGGCCUCUGUAAAUCCACCAAUUCACCUGUUUCCAAUUUUGCUCUGCCCCCACCUUCCCCACCCCUCUGCCAGUGACGCUUCUCCACCUGCAGCUGCCUCCACCAGCAGAGCCUCACAGCUGCAAUAGGUUAUGAUGUGACCACUUAUCUCCAACAAAUGAUAUUUUAAAGAGCUUCAAGUUAUCCAUGUGAAUGCAUGUUAAGUAUGUGACAAACUAUAAUAUUAGUUGAAACAAUAAAUUAUCCUUUUAGGUCUUUCCA